rnacentral:rRNA from 1 species
UGAACGCUGGCGGCAUGCCUUACACAUGCAAGUCGAACGGCAGCACGGGAGCAAUCCUGGUGGCGAGUGGCGAACGGGUGAGUAAUAUAUCGGAACGUGCCCAGUCGUGGGGGAUAACGUAGCGAAAGUUACGCUAAUACCGCAUACGAUCUAAGGAUGAAAGCGGGGGAUCGCAAGACCUCGCGCGAUUGGAGCGGCCGAUAUCAGAUUAGGUAGUUGGUGAGGUAAAGGCUCACCAAGCCGACGAUCUGUAGCUGGUCUGAGAGGACGACCAGCCACACUGGGACUGAGACACGGCCCAGACUCCUACGGGAGGCAGCAGUGGGGAAUUUGGACAAUGGGCGCAAGCCUGAUCCAGCAAUGCCGCGUGCAGGAUGAAGGCCUUCGGGUUGUAAACUGCUUUGUACGGAACGAAACGGUGAGCUCUAAUACAGUUUGCUAAUGACGGUACCGUAAGAAUAAGCACCGACUAACUACGUG